CCAGAGCAAUAUCACCCUGCAGUUCAAGACGGGUUACUCACUGAAGCUAAGCAGGGCUGAGUCUGGUCAGUACCUGGAUGAGAGACCACAUGGGAAAACUGGGUUGUUAAUUAGU
rnacentral:rRNA from 1 species